AUUGAACGCUGGCGGCAUGCCUUACACAUGCAAGUCGAACGGCAGCAUGGAGAGCUUGCUCUCUGAUGGCGAGUGGCGAACGGGUGAGUGAUGCAUCGGAACGUACCGUGUAAUGGGGGAUAACGUAGCGAAAGUUACGCUAAUACCGCAUACGACCUGAGGGUGAAAGCAGGGGAUCGCAAGACCUUGCGUUAUACGAGCGGCCGAUGUCAGAUUAGCUAGUUGGUGAGGUAAAGGCUCACCAAGGCGACGACCUGUAGCGGGUCUGAGAGGAUGAUCCGCCACCCUGGGACUGAGACACGGCCCAGACUCCUACGGGAGGCAGCAGUGGGGAAUUUUGGACAAUGGGGGCAACCCUGAUCCAGCCAUGCCGCGUGAGUGAAGAAGGCCUUCGGGUUGUAAAGCUCUUUCGGCCGGGAAGAAAUCGCACAGGCUAAUACUCUGUGUGGAUGACGGUACCGGCAUAAGAAGCACCGGCUAACUACGUGCCAGCAGCCGCCGUAA
rnacentral:rRNA from 1 species